GAUGAAAACGCAGCGAAAUGCGAUAAGUAAUGUGAAUUGCAGAAUUCAGUGAAUCAUCGAAUCUUUGAACGCACAUUGCGCCCGCCAGUAUUCUGGCGGGCAUGCCUGUCUGAGCGUCAUUUCAACCCUCAUGCCCCUAGGGCGUGGUGUUGGGGAUCGGCCAAAGCCCGCGAGGGACGGCCGGCCCCUAAAUCUAGUGGCGGACCCGUCGUGGCCUCCUCUGCGAAGUAGUGAUAUUCCGCAUCGGAGAGCGAUGAGCCCCUGCCGUUAAACCCCCAACUUUCCAAGGUUGACCUCAGAUCAGGUAGGAAUACCCGCUGAACUUAAGCAUAUCAAUAAGCGGAGGA
rnacentral:misc_RNA from 1 species